AAAAGUUUGGAUUAUAUUUACUUAUAGAAGAUUGAAUAAUAACUUCAAAAAAUGUGGUUUAAUCUAUAUACAACCUGUCUCCUGUUGAUGUUUUCUAUAAUCGCAUAUAUUCCGCCAGGACAUAAUAGCGACAAUCCGGGACCGGAUUUAUGGGGUGGAAAAUAAAUUAUGUAUAUUUUCUGCAAGUACAGAAUAAAGCAAAUAAUGAAAAUAAAGAAUAACUAUUUUAGAUGUACAUAUAUGUGGGACUGGGUUCCGAUUCCGUAGAAAUGUGUAGCCCCGUUUAGAUUUAUAUUUAGUUAUAUGGUAAUAGGUUUUAUUUUAGAUUAUAAUUAGGUUUUAGUAACUAUACAAAUGAUUGAAUUGAAUGGUAAUUGUUUCGUCUUUAGGUUUUUAAUGAGAGCGUCCUUAAUACUUUUUAACUUCAUUAAUACACGUCUUCUCGUCUUUGACUCGUCUUAAAAGUUGUUCUUCCUCGUCGUCUCGUAGCAGCAUUGCCACAUCGUCGUUUUGUGGGUCGCUUGCCACACCGUCGUUUAACAGCUGUUCUGAGGUGGUCUGGCCAUUCGGCGUUACCCACCCAACCCCACAUAUAUCCUUUGCUUGCUUUUAGUUAUGAUAACAAAUAAAUAAACAUACAUAAUUUAAGAAACAAAUUUUUUGGUUUUCUUUUUUUGGUUGAAGGUUUUAGUAAGAAGGAGUGACAAUAGUGCCAAUAAUUAUUUCCUGAACUUGAGGAUGAAAAUAUCCUGAAGGAAGAAGAUACAAGGUUCCAGAUCUUUUUCAGACGAUUACUCGAUUACUCAUUGCAUUUCUAAUAGCCACAACAAAUUCAUUUCGCUCUUGAUUAUAAGUAUUUAAUGUAAAUACGUUCCAUUACUAAUUUACAACUGCCAUAAAUAGGCAAGAUCAAUACGUUUCGAUUAUAGUUACUUUUCAAAAAUUAAAUAUUGACCUUAAAAAUGUGGUACAAUCUAUAUACAGCCUGUCUCCUGUUGAUGUUUUCUAUAAUAGCAGUUCUUCCGCCAGGACAUGAAAGCAAUCAAAGUCGACCCCCCAAAUUUGGAAAUGGAAAAUAAAUUAUGUAUAUUUUCUGAAAGUGCAUGAUAAAGCAAAUAAUGGAAAUAAAAAAUCGCUUUAUCAAGACAUAACUAAAGCCUCAGGAAAUUCAUAUAUUCUUUCCUUGCUUUCCAUUCAUGGUUUUGGGUAUCAAUUUGGAACAAUUAGAGAACUAUUACAAGAACAAUUAGCUUCCAAAUUUCAUAAAUGUAUAUACUUACUUGCUUUUACUUUUUUCGUACACUUGAGGAAGAAAAGAUCCUAGAGGAAGAAGAAACAAAGUUCUAGAUCUUUUUCGAGCGAAUACUCAUAUGCAUAAGAAUGCAUUUCUAAUAGCCACAACAAAUUCAUUUCGCUUUUGAUUAUAAGUAUUUAAUGUAAAUUCGUUCCAUUACUAAUUAGUAAUGUAAAUUAGUAAUUGUAAAUUUACAACUGCUAUAAAUAGGCAAGAUCAAUACGUUUGGAUUAUAGUUACUUUUCAAAAAUUAAAUAUUGACCUUAAAAAAUGUGGUUCAAUGUAUAUACAGCCUGUCUCCUGUUGAUGUUUUCUUUAAUAGUUUAUCUUCCGCCAGGACAUGAAAGCAAUCAAAGUCGACCCCCUAAAUCUGGAAAUGGAAAAUAAAUUAUGAAUAUUUUCUGCAAGUGCAGGAUAAAGUUAGAAGCAAAUAAUGGAAAUAAACAGAAAACAAAGUGAAUUUGUUUCAUAAUGUGA